rnacentral:rRNA from 1 species
UACGUAGGAGGCAAGCGUUGUCCGGACUGACUGGGCGUAAAGCGCGCGCAGGCGGUGCGGGGCGUCGGUGCUGAAAUCGGGCCGCUUAACGGCCCGCGGCGUGCCGAUACGCCCGUACUGGAGGGUGGGCGAGGGUGGUGGAAUUGCCGGUGUAGUGGUGAAAUGCGUAGAGAUCGGCAGGAACACCCGUGGCGACAGCGGCCACCUAGCCCAUACCUGACGCUGAUGCGCGACAGCGUGGGGAGCGAACUGG